UUCAUUUCAUUUUGUGCAUCUAACUUUUUCUCUUUUUUUUUUACUAACACUGCCAUAAACCAUUUUGUAUGUUAUACAUUCCCCCAUAUGGGUGUCACUAAUUGUUUAAUCCCCACUUUUUCUUGCUUCAUUUGUGGUUUUUUCUUCAUUUCAUUUUGCUCCUCGACUCUCUUUUACUAGGCUCACUAAGGUAGAUUUUAGGAAGUGACCUCUACGCCCUGUUUGGAUAGUCCGAUAUAUUUAUGAAAGAAUGUCAAUGAUUUUGAAUUAAGGCCGUUCUAAUUUUCUUUAAAACAGGUAGAGAGCAUUUUUGGGCCUUUUCAUAAAGGGGGUGAAAAAUGUGAUUAUUUGUUAAUAAAUGGCAGCGCCAAACAUGGUUUAAUUAUCAUUAUUUAUUCAUUUGAGUUUUGAUAAGUAGGUCUUUUGCUUGAGGGAGUAAGUGUAAUAGUAGUUAAUUGUAUGCGUGCAAUAAAUAAUGUAAGGUACAUGGGAUGCAUGUAAGGAAAAUUUGUUGCUUUGCACAAAUAUGUAUAUGCAUGUGCACACGUGUAAAAGAGGCGUUCUGUCACAACAAUAGAUAAUAACGUGUAUAAUGUUCUCUCAUCAGAGAAUAUUAUAUACUUACUCCAUUUGAGUUUUGAUAAGUAGGUCUUUUGCUCGAGGGAGUAAGUGUAAUAGUAGUUAAUUGUAUGCGUGCAAUAAAUAAUGUAAGGUACAUUGGAUGCAUGUAAGGAAAAUUUGUUGCUUUGCACAAAUAUGUAUAUGCAUGUGCACACGUGUAAAAGAGGCGUUCUAUCACAACAAUAGAUAAUAACGUGUAUAAUGUUCUCUCAUCAGAGAACAUUAUAUACUUACUCCAUUUGGCAAAAUACUUAUAGGGGGGGAUUUUUUUCAAUUUGGAAAUUCGUGGCAAGUAUUUUCCAAACAAUUACUCAACAUUAAAUUUGACAGUUAAAGUUUGAACUUUCAUAUUAACCUUAGGACCUUUUCCAAGCACAUGUAAAAUUUAUGAAUUCUUUUCUUGAAGUUGUCAGGUUGAAGAGGCUACAUCCGCAAAAUUUAAAUACCUAAAAAUAUUUAUAAAU
rnacentral:lncRNA from 1 species